rnacentral:rRNA from 1 species
CCUACGGGAGACAGCAGUGAGGAAUAUUGGUCAAUGGACGCAAGUCUGAACCAGCCAUGCAGCGUGCAGGAAGACGGCUCUAUGAGUUGUAAACUGCUUUUGUACGGGGGUAAACGCAGAUACGCGUAUCUGUCUGAAAGUAUCGUACGAAUAAGGAUCGGCUAACUCCGUGCCAGCAGCCGCGGUAAUACGGAGGAUUCAAGCGUUAUCCGGAUUUAUUGGGUUUAAAGGGUGCGUAGGCGGUCGGAUAAGUUAGAGGUGAAAUCCCGAGGCUCAACUGUGGAAUUGCAUCUGAUACUGGUAGGCUAGAGAAUAGUAGAGGUAGGCGGAAUGCAUGGUGUAGCGGUGAAAUGCUUAGAGAUCAUACAGAACACCGAUUGCGAAGGCAGCUUACCAAGCUACUACUGACGUUGAGGCACGAAAGCGUGGGGAGCAAACAGGAUUAGAUACCCUUGUAGUC